rnacentral:misc_RNA from 1 species
GAAAUGCGAUAAGUAAUGUGAAUUGCAGAAUUCAGUGAAUCAUCGAAUCUUUGAACGCACAUUGCGCCCCUUGGUAUUCCGAGGGGCAUGCCUGUUCGAGCGUCAUUACACCACUCAAGCUAUGCUUGGUAUUGGGUGCCGUCCUUAGUUGGGCGCGCCUUAAAGACCUCGGCGAGGCCUCACCGUCUUUAGGCGUAGUAGAAUUUAUUCGAACGUCUGUCAAAGGAGAGGACUUCUGCCGACUGAAACCUUUUAUUUUUCUAGGUUGACCUCGGAUCAGGUAGGGAUACCCGCUGAACUUAAGC